GGCAAUGGGAGGGGGAUUGGCAGCUGGAGUUGACUCUUGAUGGACAGCCCCUAGACCACCAAGGGUGGACUUAUGCUGUUGAUUUCCCGUCACAAUAUU